AUUGGACGCUGGCGGCAGGCUUAACACAUGCAAGUCGAGCGGGGUGAUGGUGCUUGCACUAUCACUUAGCGGCGGACGGGUGAGUAAUGCUUAGGAAUCUGCCUAUUAGUGGGGGACAACAUCUCGAAAGGGAUGCUAAUACCGCAUACGUCCUACGGGGGAAAGCAGGGGAACACUUGUGACCUUGCGCUAAUAGAUGAGCCUAAGUCGGAUUAGCUAGUUGGGGGGGUAAAGGCCUACCAAGGCGACGAUCUGUAGCGGGUCUGAGAGGCUGAUCCGCCACACUGGGACUGAGACACGGCCCAGACUACUACGGUAGGCAGCAGUGGGGAAUAUUGGACAAUGGGGGGAACCCUGAUCCAGCCAGGCCGCGUGUGUGAAGAAGGCCUUAUGGUUGUAAAGCACUUUAUGCGAGGAGGAGGCUCUUUUGGUUAAUACCCAAGAUGAGUGGACGUUACUCGCAGAAUAAGCACCGGCUAACUCUGUGCCAGCAGCCGCCGUAA
rnacentral:rRNA from 1 species